rnacentral:rRNA from 1 species
AACUUUCAGCAACGGAUCUCUUGGCUCUCGCAUCGAUGAAGAACGCAGCGAAAUGCGAUAAGUAAUGUGAAUUGCAGAAUUCAGUGAAUCAUCGAAUCUUUGAACGCACCUUGCGCUCCUUGGUAUUCCGAGGAGCAUGCCUGUUUGAGUGUUAUU